CGUGGAUUAGGCAUGCAAGUCGAACGGUAGUAAACCUUCGGGGUUUAGAGAGUGGCGAACGGGUGAGUAACACGUAGGUAAUCUACCCUCAAAACGGGGAACGAACCCAGGGAAACUUGGGCUAAUACCGGAUGCGUGCAAGCAAUGUUUUGGCUGUUAAUGCUAUUCACGGAAGUGAGUAGUGUUAAUGGUUGAGAGCAUUAUUUGCAUAAAAGGUGGUAUAUGCUGCCGUUUGAGGAUGAGCCUGCGUCCUAUUAGUUAGUUGGUGAGGUAAUGGCUUACCAAGGCGAUGAUAGGUAGGCGGCCUUAACGGGUGGUCGCCCACACUGGGAUUGAGAGACGGCCCAGACUCCUACGGGAGGCAGCAGUCGAGAAUAGUCUACAAUGGACGGAAGUCUGAUAGUGCGACGCCGCGUGAACGAAGAAUCCCUUCGGGGUGUAAAGUUCUUUUAUACGUGAGCAGUGCCCUUUAUAUGAAUAGUAUAGAGGGAGGGAUUUAAGCGUAUGAAUAAGCAACGGCUAACUCCGUG
rnacentral:rRNA from 1 species